UACGUAGGCGGAAAAUUAAGUCAGUAGUGAAAUCCUGCAGCUUAACUGUAGAACUGUUAUUGAUACUGGUUUUCUUGAAUAUAGUUGAAGUAGGCGGGAUGUGUAAUGUAGCGGUGAAAUGCUUAGAUAUUACACAGAACACCGAUUGCGAAGGCAGCUUACUAAGCUAUGAUUGACGCUGAGGUACGAAAGCGUGGGGAGCGAACAGGAUUAGAUACCCUGGUAGUCC
rnacentral:rRNA from 1 species